rnacentral:rRNA from 1 species
UACAGCCAUAUCACAUUGAAACACUAUUUCUCAUACAAUCACUGAAGUUAAGCAACAUCAAGUCUGGUCAGUACCAAGAUAGGUGACCACUUGGGAAUACCAUGUGC